GGCCAGUUAGCUCAGUGGUUUGAGCGCAGUGCUGACAACGAUGACAACACCAAGAUCGUGGAUUCGAUUCCCACUCGGUCCC
rfam:Apaloderma vittatum contig33868, whole genome shotgun sequence.